rnacentral:rRNA from 1 species
UACGUAGGGUGCGAGCGUUAAUCGGAAUUACUGGGCGUAAAGCGUGCGCAGGCGGUUUUGUAAGCCAGAUAUGAAAUCCCCGGGCUUAACCUGGGAAUGGCAUUUGGGACUGCAAGGCUGGAGUUUGGCAGAGGAGACUGGAAUUCCCGGUGUAGCAGUGAAAUGCGUAGAUAUCGGGAGGAAUACCGAUGGCGAAGGCAGGUCUCUGGGCUAUAACUGACGCUCAUGCACGAAAGCGUGGGGAGCAAACAGU